UACGGAGGAGGCAAGCGUUAUCCGGAAUUAUUGGGCGUAAAGCGUCCGCAGGUGGCACCUCAAGUCUGCUGUCAAAGACCGGGGCUUAACCCCAGAAAGGCAGUGGAAACUGAAGCGCUAGAGUGCAGUAGGGGUAGAGGGAAUUCCCGGUGUAGCGGUGAAAUGCGUAGAGAUCAGGAAGAACACCGGUGGCGAAAGCGCUCUGCUAGGCCGCAACUGACACUGAGGGACGAAAGCGUGGGGAGCAAACAGG
rnacentral:rRNA from 1 species